GAAAAUAUCUGAACAAACAGGAAAGUAUCACAGCGUAAACGCGAUAAUUCUCUUAAACAUUUCUUUAUUCUUGUACAUCUUCAUGAAACAAAAGAUAGUAGACAAGUUAGAAAGUCUUCGAAGGAGGCUUGAACACAUCACAAACUUCUUGUCUUCGAUGAAAUUGUUCUUUUUUUUUUCAUUCCACAAAAAUUUUCAAUUAACGGUAAGUCACGAAACACAAGGCCAAGAAGAGGACGCCACCUGGUGGUAGUUUCGUACUUUUUCCUUCAUCUGAAGAAAUCGCUCAGAUUAAGCAUUUUCGCCAGCUGGUCCGACCGGUGAUGAUAUUCCGUGAGUUUUAUUUAAAUACUGUUUUCUGAUUUAAAUAAAAUGAUCCCAGCUUAACUGAUUGGAAAAAAAGCUAUUACGCUGUAUCAACAAGAUUAUAAAGGUGAAUUGUGUAAGUCAUAAUCUGGUGUUGUUUACCGCAUUGGAAAACUACGCUUCAUGCUCCCGAUUAACGAAAAGUACCAGAAAAGUGUUCAUGCUUAGAAAGUCAUAGAUAAGUUCAAAUGUUUCAUACAUAGUCAACAUUUCUUUCAGCCAGAUAAAUUUUAUUUUAAUAUAUAGGAUAAAAUGUUCAUAAUUCCAAGGUGAAAUAUACAGCCCAUUUUUCCCCAACUAUCUGGUAUUCAAAAAGGGAUCAACGAUUUUAAAAAUAAUAAUAAUUAUAGAAAAAUUGGGGUAAAUCUAAUUGUACCGUUUGUUGCGCACUGCUUAGGAAAUUAUAUAAAUUUUAUUUACCAAAUCGCAGAAUCAGUUACGAAGUUUAUCAGCAGAUAGCUCUUCAAAAUGAAAAAAAACCGUAAAAUCACUGACUCCCCAUAAACCAACCUUACUGCAAAAAUUACAGUGAAAUAUUCUCCGGUAAAAAAUGGAUUUUACAGAAAAUACACAGAACGUACGUUAUACGGGUAUAGUGUGCUAAAAUUUAGACCACCCGAAAUAACUUUUGAUCUAAUUAGCAGAUCUUCACAUUCUAGGACUCAUUCUUACUGACUCGAGGGGUUGACUUCAAGAAUGCUAAUUAAUAAGUGCAGAC
rnacentral:misc_RNA from 1 species